rnacentral:rRNA from 1 species
UACGAAGGGGGCUAGCGUUGCUCGGAAUCACUGGGCGUAAAGCGCCCGUAGGCGGAUUGUUGAGUCAGGGGUGAAAUCCUGGAGCUCAACUCCAGAACUGCCUUUGAUACUGGCGAUCUUGAGUUCGGGAGAGGUGAGUGGAACUGCGAGUGUAGAGGUGAAAUUCGUAGAUAUUCGCAAGAACACCAGUGGCGAAGGCGGCUCACUGGCCCGAUACUGACGCUGAGGUGCGAAAGCGUGGGGAGCAAACAGG